CAAGGGCAACAAGGGCCAAGAAGCAGAGUGGCGGGAGGGGGUGUGGAGUGAAUUUUACAUACUGAUUUGAUCUAACCAGUUAAUGCUUCAGAGGGAGCUAAACACUUAUGUAUACAGCACACCCAGAAAUUGUGAAUUAGUCCUGAGUGGGGAAGAAGAGACUGAAGACCCAGGUUCCCAGUCCAAUCCAGUGUAGGAGAAUGGAAGAAAGUUUUCUGCUUCUGUUCUGGGAUUUGCUAUGAUGUCCAAACCAGAGUUUCCUAGACUGAGAUCCAGCAAGGAAGAAGCAGAUGGGGGCAUGAGUGGUCAUGGAAAAACAGCCAGUGGGGAACAGAAUUGUUCCAGUGCAAUUCUACCUAGACAUAAAGCAGAGCUGGGGAAAGAAAUUAAGAGCAACUAGAAUGACUGUGAUGCAGCAAGACUACACAACUAUGAGAAGUGAAAUCAACACAAG